AUUGAACGCUGGCGGCAGGCCUAACACAUGCAAGUCGAACGAGUGGCGGACGGGUGAGUAAUGUCUGGGAAACUGCCUGAUGGAGGGGGAUAACUACUGGAAACGGUAGCUAAUACCACAUACCAUCGGAUGUGCCCAGAUGGGAUUAGCUAGUAGGUGGGGUAAAGGCUCACCUAGGCGACGAUCCCUAGCUGGUCUGAGAGGAUGACCAGCCACACGGCAACGGAGACACGGUCCAGCCUCCGACGGGAGGCAGCAGUGGGGAAUAUUGCGCAAUGGGCGAAAGCCUGACGCAGCCAUGCCGCGUGUAUGAAGAAGGCCUUCGGGUUGUAAAGUACUUGCAGCGGGGAGGCGGUACCCGAAGAAGAAGCACCGGCUAACUCCGUGCCAGCAGCCGCGGUAAUUC
rnacentral:rRNA from 1 species